CGAUGACACCGAUGUUUUGAAAACAUCGAUGACACCAUGUAUCGAUGUUACUCCAUCUCUAGCUCUGAACUUUUAGGCUGACAAAUUGUCGUAGUUGAGCGAAAUUAAACAAAUUAACAAGACUUCCCGGCAAUUACCUGAAAUCCGCUGACACAGCUAAAACAAAAAAGAACGACGGAAGCAACGCCAAGUCGCCAAAUCGCAGAGUACCUGGAAAAGUGCAUCCCCAAAAGAGGCUAAACUUAACUAAAAAGGCAUGGCUGCACCGGUCAUCGUCGAGGCCACGGCCAAGCAAACCGCCACGCUGAUCUUCAUGCACGGCCUGGGAGACACGGGUCAUGGCUGGAGCAGCGCCCUGGCCGCCAUUCGCCCACCUUUCAUGAAGGUCAUCUGCCCCACGGCGCCCACACAGCCCGUUUCGCUGAACGCCGGCUUCCGGAUGCCCUCGUGGUUUGACCUGAAGACCCUGGACAUCGGUGGGCCCGAGGACGAGCCGGGCAUCCAUGCGGCCCGAGACAGUGUGCACGGUAUGAUUCAGAAGGAGAUUAGUGCCGGCAUACCGGCGAACCGGAUCGUGCUGGGCGGAUUCUCGCAGGGCGGAGCUCUGGCGCUGUACUCGGCGCUGACGUACGACCAGCCGCUGGCCGGCGUGGUGGCCCUGUCCUGCUGGCUGCCGCUACACAAGCAGUUCCCCGGCGCCAAGGUUAACAGUGAGGAUGUGCCGAUCUUCCAGGCACACGGCGACUACGAUCCCGUGGUGCCGUACAAGUUCGGCCAGCUGAGCGCCAGUCUGCUCAAGUCGUUCAUGAAGAAUGUGACGUUCAAGACAUACAACGGAUUGUCGCACUCUUCCUCCGACGACGAAAUGGAUGACGUCAAGAACUUCAUUACGCUCACUCUGCUCUUCUCGAUUACAGGACAUAAUCAGUAAAUGGGUAAACUAAUUUCCACUGAACCUUAGCACUCUUAGAACGUACGAAAGCCCCCGACCCAGCCCGUUGCAUUCCAACGAUCACGAAAUACGGAGCAGCUGAACAUGAUUAAAGCGUAUUUAAUGAAAUUCUAAGCGCAGUAAGCGAGUCACACUGAGAGUAUACGAGUAGGCUCUCACGUAGCCCAAUUAUGGAAAUUAUCACUGAAAAUCAAUUCGAAAAGCAAUCAAUUAUACACACGUAGCUAUACCUAAUGAAAAAUGCCAAAAUACAAGCAAUUUGCGAGGGAAAUUCGCCACCGCUAGACGUGUCAGAGUAUAUUAAAACUCACUUUGAUAUUUGUUCGCUGCUAAUUAUUUCGGUUUACUUAUUUGGGACUUACACAUUGGGAACAUGGUAGCCAAAACAUGGCCAGAAAGGCGCAAUGCUGUCAGAUAUCAUAGUAGCAUCCAAUGCUAGUGUAGUGAAGGUUCCUGUUCCUGUUACUGUUCCUUCCGCAAAUCAAAGCUCCUCAGCCUAGUCAAGACGUCUCGGGCCGCACAAGAAUUGUAUUUUAGUAAUUAUUUUGUACAUACACACGAUGGACUUGUUGGUACCAUGAUAAAGGCUGUCCUAUCACCUGGUGAAGUGACAAGAAGCCGAUUCGCCAAAGCGAAUGGCCAAUAAAGUUAUUUGAAGCUCUCAA